rnacentral:lncRNA from 12 species
UUAUUUAUUUAUUUAUUUAUUUAUUUAUUUUUAAGAUUUUAUUUAUCUAUUCAUGAGAGAUACAGAGAGAGAGAGAGAGAGAGGCAGCGACACAGGCAGAGGAAGAAGCAGGCUCCAUGCAGGGAGCCCGAAGUGGGACUUGAUCCCAGGUCUCCGGGAUCAGGCCCUGGGCUGAAGACGGCACUAAACUGCUGAGCCACCCGGGCUGCCCCAAAUGUGAAUUUUUAAAUUGGACAUCAUUUCAACCCAGUAAUCAACGUUGGUUGAAAUGAAAUCAAUGUGUUUCAGAUUUGGUUUGAGCUGCUGACUGAUUUUGGAUUUUUCUGCGUGAAGAAUGCUGUUGUGCUGUUGCUGCGCUUGAAGUUAUAAUUGGCCUGCUAAGUGGUGCAGCUUUGUUUAGCAGAUGCUGGUGGUGUUUCAAAACAGUCCUACCUUUUUACAAAAUCAGAUUCCUGCGUUGUGCUGACUCAUUUGCCCUCGGUCUUUGAAGCUAAUUAGCAGCAGGCGGGGAGCAGGACGGCCUCAGCACAUACCUUUCCAUAACAGGCAAAGAACAGACAGGGAACAGAGCACCGAGACGGACCGGAAACACAUGCGUGUCCAGAAGCAGGAACGCGUAUGGAGAGACAGAUGGAUGGGGAGGCAGGCCUGGGGGCGGCGCUGCCGGGAGGACUAAGAGGCUGGAACUCAGAGCAGUCUUCUUUUUCCCAAAGAAAACCUUACACGGAAUCCUGUUUUAUCUCCGAAGUGGACGUUCGCCUUGGCUCCUGCUCCUUCAGCUCCAGCUUCAUUGAGUUUUAAAAGGAUGUGAAAUUCUAAUAAAUAUUGCUUUGUGGCUUACUGAGCUCA